UACGGAGGAUCCGAGCGUUAUCCGGAUUUACUGGGUUUAAAGGGUGCGUAGGCGGGCGCCUAAGUCAGCGGUGAAAUGCAGCGGCUCAACCGUUGAACUGCCGUUGAAACUGGGCGCCUUGGAUGCGGUCGAGGCCGGCGGAAUGCGUGGUGUAGCGGUGAAAUGCUUAGAUAUCACGCAGAACGCCAAUUGCGAAGGCAGCUGGCCGGGCCGCAAUCGACGCUGAGGCACGAAAGCGUGGGGAUCAAACAGGAUUAGAUACCCUGGUAGUCCACGCCGUAAACGAUGAUGGCUAGCUGUUGGCGAUACACAGUCAGCGGCUGAGCGAAAGCGGUAAGCCAUCCACCUGGGGAGUACGGUCGCAAGAUUGAA
rnacentral:rRNA from 1 species